GUGCUUGUAGUUAAGCAGUGGUGUAAAUCAUUGUUUAACGUAAAUUUUACUAUCUAUACAUGAAGUAUUUACAAAACCGAGGAACGACUGAACAACUACAAUUACAACAAAAACCAGAAUAUUCUUUCAAGAUUGGCAUAGGGAAUUUAUCAACAAUCAGCUUUACCAAUGGCAAAUGGCGGCCCAUAUCACUUCAAAGUUACUGGUGCUUUUCUAAAAAUAUUUAUUUGGCCUUCCAUAACACAGAAUAUGAACACCGUGGAAUAUAUGUGGUAUAAUAUUCAAGAUCAAAAAAACCUUCAUUAUAUUUUUAUAAAUGUGAAAAAUUAAUG